rnacentral:rRNA from 1 species
UACGUAGGUGGCAAGCGUUGUCCGGAUUUACUGGGCGUAAAGAGCGCGCAGGCGGUCGAAUAAGUCGAAUGUGAAAGCCCCCGGCUCAACUGGGGAGGGUCACGCGAUACUGAUCGACUCGAAGGCAGGAGAGGGAAGUGGAAUUCCCGGUGUUGUGGUGAAAUGCGUAGAUAUCGGGAGGAACACCAGUGGCGAAGGCGACUUCCUGGCCUGUUCUUGACGCUGAGGCGCGAAAGCUAGGGGAGCAAACGGG